GGCUUCCUGAAGUGAAACGCCUUCUCUUCUACGUAAAGACGAGAGAAGUUCAGCUGCAGUUUUUCUUCCUCGCUGCUCAGUUACAAUCAUCAGAUUGUGUUUGACUCUGAGUGCAGACGCAGAGAGACAGCUGCAGUGUUUGAGUGUCACAUCCUCUCAGCCCAGCUCGUUCACUGCCGCCACCCAGCGAUGGUAAAAAUGGCUUUAAAAUGAUUUUAAUCGCUCGGGGUGGAGAGAGGGUGGAUUAUAUCGAAGGCAAUUAUCAUGAAGACCAAAGGUGUUCGGGUGGAGACCAGCAGCUGGCUGACAGUUUCGACACGCAGCGUGACUCCCUCUGCUGCGACUGGAUGACAUUUUUCCGCCUAAACUCCAAACAGAAAAACAACAACAGCAGCCGCACCGCUGAGGUUUUCUCCUCCUCAGACCUGACUCAACCGUUCCUCAUGCCGUGUGUGUUGCCUGGCAACCAGCUCAGCCUUGUUUACAUGUAGUAAAGCGAGAACAUCAGCCCCGCCUCCCACCGCCGCCGCUGUGCCACAGCUGCCGACCCCGCCCACAUCACAUGACAUCACAGCUGGAGGUGGAGUCCGCCAUCGCACAUCUUCCCACCGGCACGACUGUCGCCAACACGCCGGUCCACCGAGAAGUUUAAUUCUCCCACAAAUCAUUAUUUCGAACAGUGAAAAAUGUUUCCUCAUUAAAUCAAAGAUGACUGAAUGCAAAUAUUAGUUGUAGGAUUUUAAAACCUGUUCAGACUUUAAUCUUCCACGAGCCGUCGAACUGUCUGUGUUUUGUCUCUGAGAGUUUUAGUGUCUAAAAGUUUCACAUUCUUGAUCCGACUGCAGUGAAGUCAGUGGAGCUGCUGCUCUUCACUCUGCAGGCUUCACAUGAAGAUAAAUUACAACUUCUGCUGUUUCUGCGCUCCGUCUCUCAGCUUUAAUCGAUGUGAUAUUCAACCACUGUAAAAGUUGUCUUGGCCUUUAAUUUGAGACAACGACAGACUCUCACCCAGUGAUUUCACCAAGAGACAAGAUUAAUAUUGACCUGGAUCAUAAUGAACUUUCACAUUUAUUCUUUUAUAGGAACUGAUAAUUCAAGUUUUAAUGGUCUCAAAUUCAACAAAACAGAACUAAACAGGUUUAGAGGUUUUCCAAAGUCUUUUAUUAACAUACAGCAGCA